ACCACCAGUGUCUACUCCUGUAAAUAAUUGAAAGGAAUAUAAUAGGAAGUAAUCAGACUUUCUCCACAGAUACUGAGCUCCUGGGAAUGAAGUAGACCAUUGCAUCUUCAUCUUAGCAUCAUGAGAGCCUUGAAGUUCAGUGCAACAGAAAUUGGCAUGGUGGUAAUCCUGAUGCUAGCAAUGACAUCUUAGGAUGCCACUCAGCCUGCUGCAUGACACCAGCUCAUCCCUGUGGUGGCCAGCUUUGGAAAUCAAGAAGGAAUAGGGACAGGGUGUAGGGUUUGAUUUUGAUCUCAGCUCCCUGUUUACCUCUUUCCAGGACAGAUGAGAUUUUCUUGAAGAGGUCAGGCGUGGAAAGGGUGAUGGAACACUCCAUCUCAGAGAUGAUCCAGUGAAGACAUGAGGAGCAGCUAGCGCAGAGGUCUGCUCAAAGUGGGUGAUGAGCUUGUCACUACGUUGGCUUUUGCCUCUGUGCAGAUAUAGCUGGUAACACGUGUUUCAAAGCCUCUUUCUAACAGAGUUGAAAGCCAGGGUCUGGCUGAUGAGUGAGCUUCAGGAAUGGCCUUUAUAAAAAAAAAAAAAUGGCUUUGCUUUGUUCUCCUUCCAUGCAUUCGAUCCAGUUCAUCAACCAUAACAAGUUACGCAAAUGCAGACCAGUGUGACUUUAAGUUGCUUGCUGUCCUGCUGGCACAUCAUGUGGCUUUCCACUGAGAUGCAAGGAGGGGUUCCGAGAGUAAGCUGCUGGACCACUCCCUUCUCAGAAAGGGAUGCCAGGCCAUCAGCAGAGCUAAGGAGGCUGGAGAAAGGCUAUAUAUCCUAUGCAUGUGUGCGAAUUGGGAAACUCCUCUGUAACCACAGGCUGACCAACAUCAGUUUAAUUGCUUCCAAGCACAAAAACAUCCCAAAGUCACUUCUUUGAUCUAAAAUUGUUUCUCAAGUCCCACAAAGUCCUGUCAACCGUGCCAGAUACUGCAGCUGUCAAAUAAUCACCCGCUCUGUCCAAAUGUUACAAGUUCUCCUAUAACCUGGUCACUGUGAAGAACAUCGACCACGAUGGUGAGCUGACCAAAGGGAAGACCACCCGCCAGAGUUGCAGAUGAAAAGGUUGAAGGGUCUUUAGAGAAGCAGGAACUUCCUCAUUCCUUACUUUCUGAGUUCCCUGAAGAUCUGUGAGGUUGUUGCCAUCACUCCCAGUCUCCAAGCAGAGAAAACUAAGAACCAGGAACAUGGGAGAAAUUGCUGAAGACACCACAGUUGUCUUGGCAGUUGACAAUACAACAUGUCUUGGCUCUCUCUUAAUCCUUAACCACCUUGUGAACUGGAGCCAUAGCUUGCAUUUGGGAGAUUUUUUUUCUAGAGGGCAGAACUCUCUUAAGACUUUCCUUGAGGGAUGGGAUUUUAGUCGAGUCAGGUCAACUUCUAGCACUCGAUUGGCCUGAGUAGCUGAAUGUCAGCUGCUGGCAUCUCUGCCCUGCACUUCUCCAGCUGUGGAGCUGUGGAGAGCUCCAGCUCACAGUUUUCUAAGCAUGUACUGGCCCAGACUUGAGACUUGGUCAAGAGUCUACUAUAUUGUCAGGAUGGGGAAGGGUCUAUCACAGUUUAUUCUUCAACACCUACUUUGUUCAAAACAGUAUGAUAAAUCUCACUGUCUGUAAUAUUAUAAAGAAGACUUGUUAUCACUGAGCAUUAGUAUGCCAAUCAGCCUAUAAAUCUGGAAUUUAAAGCUAUAAGAUUGGAUUUUUUUUCAUGAGGACAGUGAAAGUAUACUGUAGAUUUAUACAUUAUUUUUACCUUCCCCUAUAACUAAAGGCUUAGUGUGUACAAUGAAUGUGUAGAAAUACCCAAAGGGAAGACAUCAAAGAAAAAUCAAAAUCAAAAUUAAGGCGCAUAUGAAGAGUUUCCUGGAAGAGACUUCAGAUAGAGGAAAGUCACCUGGGUGGACUACUAGAGAUUCCCAAAUAGGCACAUGACAGAGUGAAUCCGGGGAUGCAAUCAUUCCAGUGAAUUACUCCAAGGAACCAGACAUCAGCCCCUUCUUCCUUGUAAUCCAGGGUGUCCAUAACCACACAGCUGUCAUACAAAGGAGAGCCAGAUCAGUGAUCUCACGUAGCUUACACAGAAAGUGAAAAGGAAAAUAGAAAAUAGGGCUGAUGCCCAGUGGUAGAGAACUUGCCUAUCAUGCUGAGGUCUUCUUUUCAAACCCUUGGAUCAUAAUAUUAAUUAUUAAUUAAUUAACUAAUUAAUAAUUAAUAUAUUAACUAGUAAAAAUGACUGUAAGAAGAAUGCAGUAAUUAGGAAAAAAGAAGCACUGGAAAGAAAAUUACAUAACACCAGAGAAAUUAAGUAAGUCUAGAACUAGUUACUUGAAAACAUUGAUGAAACUGAUAAAGCACUACCCAGACAAUCAAAAAAUAAAACAAAAAAGAGAAGGUAUUGUUUAUUAAUAAAGAUACUUAAGGAAGAAGCAUCAGGGUGGAUCUAGGGACAUUAAAGCACAAGGGAAUUUAGUGACAACAGUGUGUUAAUACAUUAAACAGUCUGCAUGAAUUGGACAAGUUCAUGACAAGAAGGAACCAUCAAAAUUAACACAGAAAGAAACACAUAAAAGCAAUAUUUAAAUCUACUAAAGAAAUUGAACUUCAGUUAAAAACUUCCCUAAAGAAAGUGCCAACCCCAAAUAACUCUAUUGCUAAGGCUAUAGAAAGCAUAGAAAAAAUAAUGAUGAGUUAUGAAUAUCACAAAUAAACUAUGAUCAAUUCUUGUCACAUGCAC
ensembl:lincRNA Gm10415 predicted gene 10415